UACGUAGGGACCAAGCGUUGUUCGGAUUUACUGGGCGUAAAGGGCGCGUAGGCGGCAAAUUAAGUCAGCUGUGAAAUCUCCGAGCUUAACUCGGAACUGUCAGCUGAUACUGAUGUGCUAGAGUGCGGAAGGGGCAAUCGGAAUUCUUGGUGUAGCGGUGAAAUGCGCAGAUAUCGGGAGGAACACCGGUGGCGAAGGCGGUUCUCUGGGCCUUACCUGACGCUGAGGAGCGAAAGCGUGGGGAGCGAACAGGAUUGAGAA
rnacentral:rRNA from 1 species